rnacentral:rRNA from 1 species
UACGUAGGGUGCAAGCGUUGUCCGGAAUUAUUGGGCGUAAAGCGCGCGUAGGCGGCUACCUAAGUCGGAUGUGAAAUCCCACGGCUCAACCGUGGAAGUGCACUCGAAACUGCGCAGCUAGAGUCCUGGAGAGGAAGGUGGAAUGCUUGGUGUAGAGGUGAAAUUCGUAGAUAUCAAGCGGAACACCGGUGGCGAAGGCGGCCUUCUGGACAGUGACUGACGCUGAGACGCGAAAGCGUGGGGAGCAAACAGG